UUGCAGCAGCAACCCCGGGACAGAGGUGGGACCAGCCCAGUUCGCAGGGUGAGAUGAAAGUGAUGGCCAAGAGUUGAGGAGGAGCAAGGAGAGCCUAGAAAAUAGGAAGUCAACUGGCUGGUAACCUUCCAUAUUCUUCUACAUAACCAGGUAGGUACCUAUCCAGAGUGAGUUAGCCUUCUGGUGGGGACUUGAAGAAGAACAAGGUCAGAGGGGGAGGCGGAAGGUGGAGGGAGGGAAGUAAAAAAGAGGCAGCCACUCUUCGUUGUCUCUAUGCAUUAACCCCAACUCCCAUCCCCAAAUUGAACCUCCUAUCUUGUGUCCAGCCUACCCUUCACCAUAGGACCUUUCAAGGAGGCCAGCCCGUCUCAAAAACACCACAGCUAAUUGGAGAGAGGACUCACACAGAAAACAACAGCACACUUGGAAAACAGUCAUUAUCACUGUACUAAAGUAAAGUUCUGAGUGCCCUUUUUAAUUUUGUCAUAUUUGAAAUAAGCAGUAUGGCCAUGAUUAGUGGGUAGCACACCAGGUGAAAGAAAUCUCUUCUGGAAACCUUAACACUUUGGCAAACAGGCCCAUAAUUUUCUAAAGAGUAACUACACUUGAUUGAAAAGUUUCAUCUUUUGCAAAGGAUUGGCCCUCCCCUUCUGUGUGACUCAGUGUUGUGCUAAAGGUUGUCACUUGCAUGAAUGCAAUUUCUUGUAAUUCUAGCACCUAUUUCCAAAGGAUCCUUUCUGGCAAUGUCUGUCCCUUUAUAUCAAAAUAUGGUGGUGUAAACAGCUGAGCCUGGCCUCAAUAGCUAAGCCACCCAACCAUUCAUCACCAGCUGUGACCUCAUUUUACUCCACUUCCUGUUCUUUUCCUUGCUCCACAAUAAGCAGACCCUCAGUCUAUGCCACUCUCCUUUUUAUUAACAGAUUUCACUUUCCUGACAGCCUUUUUGUGGAAACAUUUAGAACUUCCGCAGUUUAACAAGAAGUCCUCGAUAAGACCUAAUAGAUUAACUUGGAAUUCUUCAAAGUUCAAGUCAGCGAAGUUGUUCAGGGUCAGUUACUGUAACUUCAAAAAGAGGGACAGGCUUAGUCCUAAAUGAUUGAUGAGAACCUUUUUCUCUGGAACUUUACAAAACAAAGACUCUGUAUUACACCACUCAUUCAAGAUAGAUUAAGGGCAUUUUGGAAAACUAUAUUCAAAAAAUAUUUCCCAGUGGAUGGCUUCAACAACUGUUAAAACCAAACAGGGAAAAUCACUAUUUCAAGUACAUGAUGCAUUCUGACCUGGCAUUUGAAGAACGAGCUACUGCUGAAUGACCUUUUCUAGGAGAAAAUUAAAAGACACUUUGGAUGAGACGUUCCUGAGGUGAACAUCAGGCCCACAUCUUCACUGGAAUGCCUGUUGAAUCAACCCCACUUAGGAGGAUGAUCACUGAAUCUGUUCAGAAUGGCUCAAGACUGCCCAUCCUUUAUCCUAAAGAAGGGAUACUCUUGAGUGUGGCUUGAGCCGCACUUCCUGUAGCUAUUGUUGAUCCCUUGGCCCAGUUCCUAAAUGCAUUCAAUUAGUGUUUAUUUAACACCUACCAUGUAUAAGACAUUCUGCUGGGAUCCAAUGGCCUAAGUCUAAGACCUGUUUACUGCUUCAUAGCAUCUUAGCUCUUUAGGGAGAUGACAAACAAGAAAGUAACUACACGAGACUUUACAGUUUAAUACAAUUAAAGAGAUAUCUUAAAGAAACACAGGGAAAGCUGGGCAUGCAUGGUGAUGCAAGCCUGUAACCCCAGCACUUGGAAAGCUGAGGCACCAGGAUCUCAGGUUUGAGGCCGCCUGGGCUACAUAUCAAAACCCUGUCUCCCAAAACGAAAAAGAAAAAGAAAUACAGGAAAGCCACGGUGAUAUUUCAAAUAUUUUUCAGUAUAUGAGCAGGAUGUAAGUGACUGACAUUUUGUUCUUAACUGAACUGCGCUGUUUGUAUUCUUGGGCCUAGAAGAUGUCCCCACUGGUCUAUUCCACACUCCCUGGUGUUUAGAAGAGCAGUGGGUUGAAUUCAGGGAUAGUUAGCCCCUGGUAAAACAAACAGUAAAGUUCUAAAGGGGGAGGUACCUCUUGAGGCUCCUACAAUUGCAAACAGAACAGCCUCCAGCCUGUUUCCACCUAGAGUCAAUUCUUCUAAUCCUCUCCUUAGGAAAGUUGUUCUAAUGCUCUCU